rnacentral:piRNA from 1 species
UUCCCAAUACCUGCUGCAUCUGGUGGGCAGC